UUCCCAUAGCCACAUUAUUACAUGGAGCAUUUUCAAGAAUGGGCACUGAACACCUCUCUUUAUCUUUUUCAGAAUUCUCUAUUACGAGAAGUUGAAAAUGCAAAAAAACAAUUAGAAGAAAUGCAACAUGAUAAGGAGCAGCUUGUCCUGAAUAUUGAAGCCCUCAGAGCAGAGCUGGACCAGAUGAGACUGAGAGGGCCUUCACUCCACCUUGGCCGCCCCCACUUGGGCAGCGUCCCAGAUUUCAGGCUCCCCAUGGCAGAUGGGCACACGGAUGCCUACAGCACCAGCGCAGUGUUGCGACGCCCCCAGAAAGGCCGACUGGCAGCGCUGCGAGACGAGCCUUCCAAGGCAAGGCUUGAGUGAAGUACAGUACAUCUGCUUGCGUAAAAGUUACCUGCUUGUGUCGUGUUGAAC
rnacentral:lncRNA from 1 species